AGCCACUCCUUCAACGGUGAUUCCAUAGCAUGCAGAUCUCUGAAGAUGCCUUCCAGUUUUGUGACUUUAUGAUUUCUGGAAUAAUUACAAUAAUCAAAUGAGAAACACGUUAUGGUGGAUUGACCUCAUACAAAAUGACGGGAAAAUAAGAUGUUUAAAAGGGACUUCAGUAUCCUGAGUUGAGUCACUACACACAAGAAUAUUUCAUUUUCUCUCAAGCUUGAUUGGAUUCCCUUAGAAAUAAGAGUUCUUCAGGUUCGCUUUCUAAAGUCCUCUUUUCCAUUCCCACAGGAACACAGCCUGCACGACAGAGGCAACUGAGGCAGAAACAGUCUUUUCUACGCAAUAAGAACAUGAAUGAGGCAGACACUGCAAACAAAUCGCUCUUCAGGCGAUUCCAGCAGCUGGCUGGUGAAUCCACAUGAUGAGUUUCCAAAUCUCUCCACUGAGGAGGACAUGAAAGCAGAAACACUGGGAAUAAAUAAUGUAAAUACAUCCCUUCCAGGAAAGGCAGAGAGGUGCAGUAAGAAGACUUGUCAACUGCCUAGGUGCUCUAGAGGCAAUGCAAGUGCUUCCACAGAGAAGAGGCAGAAGAAACAGAGGAUAACACAAAUCUCUUGGUGGCAAAGGAGAGCUUUUACUACUCGCCAUGGACUAUAUUCUAAACCAGCAGAAACUAGAGCAACCCUAGUGAUGGCUGCGGCACUGAGUGCAGGGCUCAGAUUAGACUCUCGCUUUAACCUGAA